rnacentral:misc_RNA from 1 species
AUAAGAAUUAGAUAUUCUUGCUCUCUCAGCAGGAAAUGAACCAGAAAUCUGGUAGCCCGAAAACUAGGCAGAGUGCUCAUUUUAGUUACAAAUAGAAGGAACAACCACCUAACCACUGUAACUUGAAUUUUUGUUUGGUAAAACGAUAUACACAUAACGGUUUUAUCCCGCCAUGAUCAAUAGGACCCACUUCAAUCAACAAUUAUAAUAAAACUGUUCAACAUACAUUGGUUUCAUGCUAUAAUUUUUCAACAGCAUAAACAUAACCUAUAUAUGAAUUCCAAAAAAGCACUCUGCAUUAUGAGCAGGAAAAAUUUCAGUCCAAG